CUGCAUGGCACUUUCUGAUUGGUUAAUAUAUGAAAAAAUCCUACAUGGCAUGCCUUCCUUCAUUCCUAUUAUCCUACACUUUUCUUCUUAACCUACACUCAUCUUUCUUUAAUAGCAUAAUUAUCAAAACGCGUUUUUUCACCCUCUCUCAUCUCUUUUCCUUCUCUGCCGUUUCAAUCAUGGCACUCCCAUUUCGCAACAUCAUCCUUACCAGGACUCAAACCCACACAAAAACCUGCUUCUCCAUGGUAUCAUCGUUCUCUUAUUCAUACUCUUGCAUCUGGGAGCAACCUUCAAAGGCGGUGAUGGACGGGCUCUUGCAAGGCUACCGAAGAGGUUCCAUCCGGGAGCAACCUAACGCGUACUCUCUCUCUCCCAAUCUCAGAGCAUUCUCUGGUUUAUGAAGUCCAUGAGAGGUGCGGUUUUGUCCUUUCAAUCUCAUCCUCACCUCCUUUCGAUCUGCUUCAAUUGAAAUUUCUGAAGCUUCUCAACCGUAUCACUCAGGAAGCGGGAGUAUUUCUUCCUUCAUCACGGCUUCAUUCCUUUUCUUCCUCCGGCACCUUCCUUCAUUUUUCCGGCAAUGUCCGUGGCGAGCUUCGAAUUGAAUCCCGUAUAUUUUGGAACUGCUUUCGCUGCUAAUGAAUGCAAUUCCGUAUAUUUCGCAGCAAGAUAGGUUGGGGAAGGAAGCCAAUAUAUGAAGCGUAUUCUCUUGCCUGCAAUAUCUCACACAUAUACCAGAGGAACCCACUCAUGGAGCUCUACUUUGUCCACUCUAUAAUGAAAAGAAGAAUGUUCUAUUCUGAAGAUGUUUAAAGUGAGAUAAAGCGGGUUCGCCACAGGUUCUGGAGAGACUGUAGAGGAAGAGCGAUGCACAGUUCGAGCUUCUCUCAAGUUUUUUCCAUAAUAUUCAUGGUGCAGCCUCGGAUUACAACAGCUACCAAGUUCACAUCCAAAAUUUACUCAUUCUAAGUGACAACGAAUAAGUUAAGGAAAAGAAUAAGAAGAACAGGUGCUACUUCUGCAUUGUCCUUUGCACACUUGAUAUUUUAUAUUUUUAGAACCGUGUUUAUUUUGAGUUGUUUAUGUUCCCAUUGAACUGAGGUUUUGUUUUUCUUUUCUUUGCUGUGUUUUUUAUGUGAGCAUUGAAGCCAAGUAAGGGAAGAAGGAUCUAAAUUUCAAGUUUGAAGAGCUUGCUCGAGCAGUCGAGCAUGAGGGUUUGAGUAUGGGGGGGCGGCUUCGGUGGUGGCCAUGACUCAUUCGAUUUUUUCCUGACGUUCUUCGGAGCAAGUAUAUUUUCUGUUGAAUAUGCAUGCAAAGGAGAUAUCCACAGAAAUGCAGUAGCUUUCAAAGGGGAGCAGGUGGAUUUGGAAGAAGUAGUGGAAUUGGUGAAAUUGAGAUUUUAGUUAUGGCUCAAAUCUCAGAUGCAAAGCUUCAAAUCAUCUUUUUAUGAGUGGUAUAGGGAACCUCAUCUUUUUAUGAGUAGUAUAGGGAACCUCAGAUCUGUAUGAUGGGGAGUUAAGGGACCUUUUCCAUUAUAUCUUUCUUGGUAUUGUUAGGUCUUUAAUGAUUGGGUUGACGUAGCUUUGUCUCGAACCCAAUUUCAUAGUAUCUUACCUUCCAUCUAUGUGGGAAGCCUCGUGUAAUUUCAUAUAAUGUUAUGUUCCUUCUGGCUGCCUGUGGUUCGAUUAAUGUAUUGAGCCUAGGUGUCAUGAACUUUGUAUACUGUUAUUGCACAUCUGCGUUUUAGUGCAUUUUUGGCUUCUAAAACAAAAUGCAUGCAAAGGAGAUCUGACUCAGCAAAACUUAGCUAGAUUUACUAACAAUAGAGAUGAAAACAUGUAACAAAGACCCUGCAGGGAUAAUUUCAUUGAAAGAGAUUCAUGAAUGGACCACACUAAUUACAUUGGUUCUUACAAAAAUGACUGAAUUUAAAUGAUCCUAGCUUUUCAUAGUAAAAAAAAACCAAAAUACAACAAUGGGUGAUCUAACUCCUGCAAUUUAAUAACUACUCUGAAUCUAAUAUUUCAAAUACUUCAAGUUUUUCCAACAUUAGCCAUGAAAGUCCCAAGUCUUGAAGUCAUCUAACAUAAGUGCUUCUAUGUUAAUGCAUUCAUCAUGGUAGAGUACCUGAAAGAAACAUAAGCGAGUUUAUCAUAGUUUCUUGAAACAAUCAUCUUGAGACAAACUAUCGGCAUGUCUACCUUACCAUGUUUACAUUGCAUUCAAUCUUUAUCUUAUCAUAACAACCCUACAAUUUUUAUUAACUCAACCACCUUUUAUUCUAUUAAUUUCCAAAUAUUUCAUCACAAUAUUUAUAACACUAAGGACAACCAAGUUCACUUUCAGUUUUUGGAAUAAACGAAUAGAUUGGCAUCACACUAUAUAAAUACAUAUUCAACAUAGCAAGGGAACAUGUCUAUCUUAUCAUAAGAAUUGCUGAGAAUAGCUCAGAUGUGCCACAUAAUAAUUACUAAGGUAUCAUAGCUGAGAUCCUGAAUACAUUACCCAAUUCCCUCCAUUUCUUUUAUGCAAUCACCUGCACACUUGAGCCGGUGCAUCCAAAAGUUCUUGAGACAGAAUACAUAUGACCAAUCUCAACCUGAACUCAUAAAACAUACAAACAGAUAGAGAGAGAUUAAUUAGUCUGAGUUCGCACUUCAUCCUCUAAAACAACUUCAGAUCCUUCCUUAUCCUGUUGCUCAGUCACUCUCUGUUCAAGAAUGAACGUACAAUCCUAAUAACAAUGUAACUACAAUGCCUUUAAAAAUUUAUUUAAAAACUAAUGACAUUAUACUCAAGUUUAUUCUCUAUUAGUGCCAUUUUCAGCCUCCAGGCCCAAACUUCAUCAAAUAACACACCUUGGAGAAAGUUGUCUCAGUAGUAUCCUGAUCCACCUCGUUUCUUAUAACAUCCAUAAAGCCAAUAAGCUAAAAGGCUUCUUCUCUAAUCAAUUAUAACUCUAUUUAAUGCCUUGAAUUCUUAUGUAUUAAUAUGUAACAUAGUAGAGAUUCAUCUUCUCACAUGAAACUUCUUUCCAAUUGGUUCAGGCUCAUCUAUUUGAAAUUUUCUCCAUUUCCUUAAUGGAGUUGAGCUCAUUCUGCAAGAAAUUACUCCAUUUAGUUUAGCACUUCGCUAUGUCACCAUUAAUAUCAUUAUCCAAAAAGUAACAAUCCAUCAAUCAAAAUCUAGACCAGUAUAUCAAAGUUCAAAAGGUUUCUCCUAAAUGCAAACUAAAUCAGCAACAAUCAUGUCCUUGACAAUAGAGCAAAGGACCAUCCUUGAGGGAAAAAAUGCAAGAAAUGCAAGAGAAAGUCAGUCAGAUAGAGAACUAUACCAAAAAUAAAGUAACAAAAUCAAAGCUACAUCAGUUUUCCUCUAAAACAUGCAGCACUGAUAUGAGCGAUAUCGUGCGAGUCUCGAAGGUAACCACCCCGAUCAGCGAUGGGAGUAAACCUGUCAUUGCAAACUUGCCGAUAUUUUCUUCAACCUAUAAAUUAAGGAAAAAAUCUAUCUGGUAUUUAACCCAAAAAUCUUAAAGAUACAUAGAAGCCAAAGACAUAGAACUUAGAAGGACUGAAAAGUCUUAAAAAUAUAAUCGAAGAUAAAAAGACUUGAAUAAGCUAAUAGGCUUCUUCUCUAAUCAAAGAUAACUCUAUUUAAUGCCUUGAAUUCUUCUGUUGUAAUAUAUAAUGUAUGUAACAUAGUAGAGAUUCAUCUUCUCACGUGAAAUUUCUUUCCAAUUGGUUCAGACACUCAUCUAUUUGAGAGCUUUUCUCCAUUCCAUUAAUGGAAUUGAACUCAUUCUACAACAAUUCAACAAAACCACGCUAUUAUAUAAAACCUUGAUCCUAUCACACUUUAACCAUACAGAUCUUAAAUUUCAGUUUUACCACUAUCAAUAGGAAGAAUAGGUUUCAAGUACUCUACCAACUUACCAUGUCCAUUUAAGCUCUAUAUAUGUAGACAUAGCUAACCCCAACAGAAACAGUACAUCUCAAAGUGAAGCUUCUCCUGCUCCAGGCCAUGACUUUCAAGAUCAUUUUCCUUCUGUUCCAGCAGCUGAUCCAUAGUCCUAAAGAGCUUUCUCCUUCUAAACACGCAGCUACUGCAACAUUUUUUGCAUUUCAAGCAAUAACAUACAAAACAGAAGAGAAGAACUUUAGAACAAAUAAAAGAGAGCACAAUAUUUAACUGCUAAUCAUAAAUAAAUAAGAGUCAAAAGAGUAACAACUUGAAAUGGUCCAAUUCAUUGAGGCAGAAGGGACAUGACAUAUUCAAUAAUUGAAGAACUAAUAAAACCAUUGCCUUCAAAUCCAAUCCUUAUAGUUUUUCUGCAAAAUGAACAAUAAGUACCUUUCAAUCAAAGAUCACUCAUAGAAACUGUUUGAUCUUCACCAUCAUAACUUUGUUUCUAGUUUUCAUCCAUAAUAGACAUGAAUCUCUACUCCCCCGGUGUCUCCAAGACCUCUUUCAUCAUUCACUCUUCAUAAAAACUCAGCAAAAUUCAUAAAAACUCAGCAAAACAAACGAAAGAGCUCAUUGGAGUUGAUGGUCAAAGUUAGAUCUUCAGAUGUCAAACUUGCUGUUGAAGCUUUAAAAGUAAGGUAUGUUCAAUUAAUAUCAGUUAAGUUAAACUAUUUGUGAUUGCAAAUAAAAAUACUAUAAAACUUAAAGAAGUAAUUUUAAUUGGGAACUAAUAAAACCAAAGUAAAUGAGGCUCAUGCAGUAUUCGGCGUAAAAUAAGAAAAAAUGCAGAAUUAAGACUAUAAGACACAUUUGUUCUCUAAUGCAGUGUUUAGCAUCACAAUGAUAUGAUAUAGAUAGAUAUAAACGCAUUGCACCUGCAUGUUUGCUUUUUCUCCUUAAUCCUCUUGCUUGUCUACAUGAUUUCCACCAAUCAUUUUGUGCUUCUCCCAAUACCCAUGCGACCUGCAUAAUUUCAAAAGAAACUCCACUUGGUUAAGCGCUUCGUUAUGUUAUCACUUCACAGGAAAUAUAGAAUAACCCGUCAUUAUCAAAAAAGUGAAAUAGUAUAAAAAAUUGACGGGGUUAUGGCUAUAGGGGGAAACCCUUAAUAUCAUUAUCAAAAAAGUGAAAUCCAUCAAUCAAAAUCUGGUGACCAGUAUAUUAAAGUUCAAAAGGUUUCUCCUAAAUGCAUACUAAAUUAGCAACAGUCAUGUCCUUGACAAUGGAGCAAAUCACCAAUUUUUUUUUAAAAAGGAAUAUAAAAAAUCAUGCUUGGACAUACAUGAGAUGGCGAUGAGGUCAUAAUGGCAUCCACGGUGAAGAGGAGGAUUCAGACCUAAACACCUACCCGCCUGUAAAGAUGAAAAUUAGGGAAUAUAGGCAGUGGGUCAAGGAUAGUGAAUGAUUUAAUUCCCUAAUUUGAAGCUUGAUAGAUAUAGUGAUUUAAGGACAUGGUCAAAAUGAGAAAAUAAUUAAAAAUGAAAUAAGAUAUUAUCUCAAAAGAGAAUCAAGAGAUGCCAUAUCCUCAAUGCCAUCAACAGGUUAGAAAUGAACUAAAUUAAUUGAGAAACGUAUGUAUAGCAAAACAAUCAGUUUUGGUGAGAUCUUGAAUUAAAAUUUUUAAUAGCAAAAUGCCCCUUGAAAUUUUAUUAGCAAAAUGCCCCUUAAAAAUAAUUUAUGCUGCUUUUGAAAUUUUGUUUGUGGCUUAAUUGGAAGGUGAAAAUGGUACCUGAAAGAGUUACUUGGCUAUCACCAUCUCUAUCCGGCUCCUCAGAGAACAUCUUCCCUGUGUGAUAACAGAAGUGAAGAGGACGCAUGAAUCAAUCAGUCAUGGAAACAGAGAACAUAUGCAAUGCAACCUAUAAACCUAUAAACAGAAAAGGAGAACAAAAGGAAAACUUUUUUACUGAUAAGUAAAAGAAGGUCAGAAUAACCAUCUGGCCAAAAGGGCACCAGCGAAAUCACAGACAAAAGGGUAAAAGGAAUUGAAAAGAUUUUACAUGAGAGACAUAUACUUAGCAUAAAUAAACACAAUAGUAGUCUCUCCAUACCUUUAUGAUAGUAAAAGAUUCAAAGAAAAAUGAUAAGUCAGUGAGAUCAACAGAUUCAAAGAAUAUUAAGGGAGAAGUCUUGAGAGAAUCUCAACCUGCGUAUAGCUCUUCCUAUGCUCAGUCUUCAAUCAUAUUUUGUGAUGUUCAAGUUCUCACAUGGAAUACCCUGAAUGUUCUUCCCGUUCAGACACCUUAGUAAGCUGCUUCGAUAAUCAACACAGUCAAGAAAAGAAAAACAAAACCUCAGACUCAAAAUAAACACUGAUCUGAAAAAUAUAAAUAUAAAAUAUCAAAUGUGCGAAGGACAAUGCAGAAGUAGCAAUAUAUAUAGGCGCUUAGAAAGUAGAAACAUAAAUAUGAACUAAUUGAUACCGAUAAUUACCUUUCUUAAAUUUCCACUCAAGAAAGGAAACAAUUGAAAGCGAAUAUAGUCAAGUAAUCAAUUAAUGGGGGAAGUAUUUUAGGGUCAAGAACAAAUUUGAAUUCAAAAACACUAAUUUCUAAGAGAGGAAUUACCGGGAUUCCAUUUUCAGCCGCAGUUCCAAAAUUAGGGAAGAAUAUAUGGGCUUGGCGGCUCAAAAUUAGGGUUUGAAGUAGUUCUAAUGGACCAUGGGGUGAGAGCUCAGUGUGGCUGUGAGUAGCGGCUUCUGGAUUGCAUUUUUCAGUCUCCAAUCUGUUCGAAAAUAGGAAAGAACUCAAAAUUAUCAAAAGGAAGUAAUCUGGAUUAUCAAAUUGAAGCCGUAACCGCAAUAGUAAUAUGUGUAGAGUGUAGACUCAUACCUUGUCAUCCACAAUCGAAAUCGGGGAUUUGAAGGAUUCUAAUGGAGUUACUGGAGCAGAGCAAGGAGAAGCUCUGACGACGAUGAUUCUCUGUUACAGACUUUGCGAGGAGAGUUGGGUCGUCAACGUCGCACCGUGGGGAGAGCUGCGACUGGGAUGGAUGGUAAUGGAGGGAGGAGAUGAAAGCGAAGGAGGGGAUGGUGAUCUCAAGCGAGGGAGGAAACAGAUUGAUGUCGAGAGAGAGAACGCCGAAAAUGAGAGAGAAAGAGAGAAACAAAUCCUUUUUUUGAAACUGAGAAACGGAUCCUAAAAUAAAAGAGGAUUUAAUAUGGGAGAAGAAGAAAGGAGGAGAAAGAAGAAUGGAGGAUGAAGUGACACAUAGGAUUCAGUAGAAUAUUAGCCAAUCAGUGAAUGCCACAUCAUGCAUUUUGGGACUGAGAUCUUUUCCUGAAUGUAUAUACUAUGGAUUUAAACUGAAUCAUUGUACAACACAAAUCAAUAGUAUGCAGUGUUUGACACCUUCCCUCCUCUGACUCUGGUUUUCACUCCAAUUGUUUGACCAAAAUACAAACCAAGUGCAAUGGGUGUUGGGGAUGACUCUUCAGGUUAGAAAGCUGAAAGAAAUUGUGAGCGUUGAAGCCAAGUAAGGGAAGAAGGACCUAAAUUCUAAGGAUGCAUGUUUGAAACAAGUGAUGUUGGUCUUGCUAGAUAGUGGAGACCCCAAGUUAUAGGUGCUCGGGGCUACUUGCUGAUUUCCCUAUCGCUUCAACUCAGAUAUUUGAUUAUGAUAUUGCUUUGAGGAAAAGUAAUAGGAUUUUACUGUAAUUGCGGUUAAACUGGUCCAGGUUGAGGAAUGAGGAUAACCUACCAUCCAUGUAAAAGUUCUCUUGAUCCUGUUUCAGGCACAAAGAAACAAGUUGGUGUAGUCAUUCAAUUUCAUGCUUAGAGGAGCAACAAAUCUGUGUUCAUUUCCAAAUUUCUGAAGUCUGAAAACUUCUAAGUUCUAAUACCUCCAUGUAAAAUAAUCUGCAAAGAAUGUCUUAUAAUAAUAACUACUGUAGCAUAUUUUUUGUUACCAAUAGUCCAAUAUAUUAAUUCAUUUUCUAUGAGCUUUAGAAAAAAGUAUUUGGAUCUUCUAUUUUAACCUUCCUUCUGUUCAUAUGAUGUAAUGUAGGGUGGGAGAAAGUCAUUGAAAUAAAAGAAAAUAGCAAAUAAAAUGUAUUUCAGAUUA